rnacentral:lncRNA from 1 species
GUUGAGUUUGCUUAUGAGUUUGCUAAGUUUAUUUAGGAAGUAACCGUUGGUUUGACGACUAUAAAUAAGUUUGCAGACAUGUAGAUGAGGAGUAACUAAAAAUUGAUUGUGUUUGUGGUGAUAUCUCCUACACAAAUUGGAGACUUUAUUGCAAUUUAAAUAUUUUCAGCUUGAGUUUUUUCUUUUGUAGCUUUGAUUUCUGAUCAUCAAAACUGGUUCUGGAGUCAUUUAUAAUAAGGUGUCUGGCAGAUGUUUUUAUACCUACUGAGGUUUGGUGGCAGAGUCAUUUAUAAUAAGGUUUAGAUACAAAUAAACAAGCAUAGAGAGGAGACAGAGUAGCAGUUUAAACAAGAACUGAGAUUUGGUGGUAGCAUGGUAGAGUUAACAACUAACAAAUCAAAAGUUCAUUCUCCGAAGACAUUCACAACCACUAAAAUAGAACCAACUAGCAAAUAUGGAAAUAAUAGUGCCAUUAAAAUAGAACCAAAAAAUACAUCUUUAGGCAGAUUACGCAUGCUCGUAUCAAAAGGAAAUAGUACACGAACACAUCAAACUCCUAGAGAAUACAAGCUACUAAUAUGGAAUAUUAUGAAGGUGCAAAAACAAUGACACUCUAAGUGACAACUUAGCCAAUAUCCCAGAUUACUAAACUUCUUUAACUCUUAGAUAAUUAUAAUUUAGCACAAUCUGGUCUUGAAUAAAUUUACUUGGGCCAGAGUUGCACUACUUUUAAUAAUUAAAGAUAAAGAAAUCAACCAGACAAAUCGGAAGAUUUCUCCAUCCAGUAAGCUUAAACUAAUCUAAUUUUCAUAGAUAUUACUCAUUCUAGACUUUAGAAAAGAACAAAAGUCAAAAUUAUGUGCAAGGAUAUUUUACACCAUUUCACUAUUUCUGUUCUAUUAAUGGAUUCAAAUUAGGAACCUUGGUUCCAUAUCUUUAGCUAUGCCAUACCAAACAUGGGAUAUUCAACAGAAAUUCCACCCAUAUAUUCCCAAGUGAAUUCUGUUCUAUUGAAAAUCACUUACUAAAUUAUUAACAUUAUUGCGUCUGCUUUUCCUAAUCCCCUGAAGGUCUCACUCAUCAAUUGCUGCUAUAUUCUUUCUUUCUUGCAAUUACAUGAAGCCGAACUGAGUUCUAAGAUAGAGUUCUCUUGUGCCUGUGUCUUCUUGGAUCUCGUCUAUGUAUAAGGAUUGGGUUGGAACUCGUUUGAAGCUUUGGUUAUAAAAUCAUUUACACAACUUUUGGACAUUUUGAUAGUUCUUUUUGUUGUAAACCAUUUUUCUUUGGUUAGAUAGUGUAUAUCUUUGAAUUGGAUUACUUAUUGUGUUUUGAUGAAGUAAUAGUAUAU